AUAAAAUUUUUUCAAAAAAGAAAAAUCUGUUCUUAUCAGUUUAAUAUCUGAUACGUCCCCCAUCCGGGGACUACAUAUUAAAUGGAUUUUUAGAUCACGGAGCUGGAGCCGGGGCUUGCUCCGUCCACUCCAUGCAUCGGCCUGGUAUUGCAGUGUCUCCAGGAACGGUGUGCUUUCC
rnacentral:snRNA from 1 species